rnacentral:rRNA from 1 species
CCUACGGGCGGCAGCAGUGAGGAAUAUUGGUCAAUGGGCGGGAGCCUGAACCAGCCAAGUCGCGUGAAGGAAGAAGGUACUUAGUAUUGUAAACUUCUUUUGUCGGGGAACAAAGGCGGAGACGCGUCUCCGGAUGAGUGUACCCGAAGAAAAAGCAUCGGCUAACUCCGUGCCAGCAGCCGCGGUAAUACGGAGGCUGCGAGCGUUAUCAGGAUUUAUGGGGGUUAAGGGGUCAGCAGGCGGAAGAUCAAGUCAGCGGUAAAAGGUCGGGGCUCAACCCCGGCCGGCCGUUGAAACUGGUUUUCUAGAGUAGGAGAGAAGUAGGCGGAAUUCGUGGUGUAGCGGUGAAAUGCAUAGAGAUCACGAAGAACUCCGAUUGCGAAGGCAGCAUGCCGGCUCCAUACUGACGCUGAGGCACGAAAGCGUGGGGAUCGAACAGGAUUAGAUACCCUAGUAGUC